GACAGAGGAUGCAAGCGUUAUCCGGAAUGAUUGGGCGUAAAGCGUCUGUAGGUGGCUUUUUAAGUCCGCCGUCAAAUCCCAGGGCUCAACCCUGGACAGGCGGUGGAAACUACCAAGCUGGAGUACGGUAGGGGCAGAGGGAAUUUCCGGUGGAGCGGUGAAAUGCGUAGAGAUCAGGAGGAACACCGGUGGCGAAGGCGGCCUACUGGGCCAGCACUGACGCUGAGGCGCGAAAGCUCGGGGAGCGAACGGG
rnacentral:rRNA from 1 species